rnacentral:lncRNA from 1 species
UGGGCUCCUGAUCCCAGCCUCCCUGAUGCCCUCCUGAUGGACGCUAAACAGGCCCAGGGCUUAGUUGACAGGCUGCCAGCCACCAUGUGCCUGGCACGGGAGUGAGCUGCUGGCACAGACUGUGCCGAGGCCUCCCAACUCCAGCUGCCUCACAGCCCUACACAUCCAAGGCUUGCUUUAAAUCUCCUAAGUCCUGAAGGGCAAACCACCACACAAUCUCUCUGAGCCUCAGCUUCCUCUUGCAGAAAAUGAAGACAGAAAGAACAGCACCUACUUUCAAGGAAAAGGAGGCCACGCCCCUCAGCGGCUUCAGGAGCCCAGACCUUUGGGGGCCCACCUUCCGCAGCUUUCCAUUGGCCCCACGGUGGAAGCCCGUAGGUUCAGGCCCUCCGAACACAGCUCGCUUUCCACACCAGCGGGGCCGUACCAGAGCAAGACCAUGUCUCACAAAAUAAUAAUAAUACUUAAAAAAUGAUAAAGAAAGAUUGUCACUAGGCAAAUGUCCAAAAAGCUUCUCAGCCGAAAGCUGGAUUAUUCAACAGUCCCUGAAACAAAUAUACACAGAGGACAAGUGAUUUUUUUAAAAAGGGAAACAAGCCUGGCAUGGUGGUCCAUGUGUGUAAUCCCAGCACUUUGG